rnacentral:rRNA from 1 species
AUGAGGGCCUUAUUCUGGAAUAUUAGAGGGUUCGGUGCUAGGGGGCGCCGUGACCAACUGAAAGAUUUGGUUCGUUCUAACUCUAUUGACUUUGUGGGGCUGGUUGAAACGUUUAAGGAUUCCUUUACCCCCAGUGAGCUUUCUGCUAUCGUGGGUAUGGAUAGAUUUCAGUGGCAAUCUUUACCGGCUUCGGGCCACUCUGGUGGGAUUCUGAUCGGUUCUAAUAAGGAUAUUUUUGACUUUGUUGCUUUUGAUCAUGGGUUUUAUUGGGCUAGUGUUGUUCUCUCGCAUAGAUCUAUGAAUGCCCUCUGUGAAUUUAUAGUUGUUUAUGGGCCCGCGGAUCACUCCUUUUCGCACCUUUUCCUUGAUGAACUUUCGAUCAAGCUUGAGUCCUGUUCUCUCCCGACGGUGAUUGGGGGAGACUUUAAUCUUCUG